rnacentral:rRNA from 1 species
UACGUAGGGUGCGAGCGUUGUCCGGAAUUACUGGGCGUAAAGAGCUCGUAGGUGGUUUGUCGCGUUGUUCGUGAAAUCUCACGGCUUAACUGUGAGCGUGCGGGCGAUACGGGCAGACUUGAGUACUGCAGGGGAGACUGGAAUUCCUGGUGUAGCGGUGGAAUGCGCAGAUAUCAGGAGGAACACCGGUGGCGAAGGCGGGUCUCUGGGCAG